AGGAAAUACAAUAAAGACCCACUGGUCCCUCUUAUUAUCUGAGGAGCUCAAGGAGGUGAAGCAGAGGACAGAUAUAUAACUUUAAAUAAAUGGAAGGAGGCACCAGAGAAGACACCUGUGAUUUUAGAUGGAAAAGAAAUGUGUUUGUAAUGGAAUCUCUGGUUAGAGUGGGGAGGAGGAUGGCUAGCUUAAAGUCAUUCCAUGGGAAGAAGAGACAAUGCC